rnacentral:piRNA from 1 species
UAAGGAUGGAAGUGUCCCUUAAGAGGGCUGUA